GAAAAAAACUCGAAUAGUUCGUCUGCUUGAGAAUAGAGAAAUAGUUAAUCUGCUUUAGAAGUCGCGUUGACGUAAGCACGUCUUGCCUUUAUUGAGUAAUGUUUCAAAAUGUUGGUAGUGAAACAAAACUUUGUUGUGGCUUUAUGAGAAACCAAGAUCCUUUUCUCAAAUGGAAAGAGACUUUACUGGACAGAUGUAAUUUGCAUGAAAGAGAUUGCACUUGUAAAAUUUUCCGAACCUUUUCCUUGCAAAAACUCUUCUUUAGGCUCUUGUAGUUAUAUCAUAGUUGUCUUGUGGCUACCAAUGGCGGCCAUGCCAUGUUUGACAGCAUCUAGUUGUAUUUGUAGUCUGUGAAAAGAAAAUAAAUACAAGCAUAAUGAAACAACAAA